GCCCCUGCCCACAUUACACUACAAGUGUGCCUGCCUAUAGCUCCAGCUGUGUUGCAGUAAUGCCUGGCAAUAGGCCCUUUUCACCUGGCUGGAUCUUAACUUUGUGGACUCUGUUCCUAGCUUGGUGUUGGAUCUGCCUUGUUGCUAUGAAGUUGCCUUGUGAUUGUGUCUGACUCUGUCAGUGCUGACCCUCCCUUGCAGGCUUGUGUUUCUGGCUUCAUCUGGGACCAACCCUGUUACCAUACACUUGACUUGCAUCUGUGCCCCACCGCUCCCUUGCAAAUUGGAGGUUACGUUGUAAGAGCUAAAACCACGGGCAGAUUGGGACUCAGAAUAUCCAAGGCUGCAGUUUGACUUAAAAGGAUAGAGGUGCUUCCACUUCCUGGCCUUCCCUCCGUUGCUCUUGUGAGGAAUUGAACCAACCCAGAUGGAACCAAGCAUCAUGAUUUUGACUGGCAUGUACUCAUGAAAUGAAAUUUGCCCUUUCUUGCAGAUCCAAAGAGUCCCGGCUAAAAUCAGUUGAGGAUGAUUUCUUUUGCUGAGUAGAAAUGAAACAGUACAUUAUCUUGUACUCUAAUUUAUAUGUUCCUAGAACAAGUGGUCUUCCAUGACUGAAGAAAAAUAACUCAAUUGCUUCUGAAUUGUCAACUACAUCUUGAACAUCCCUACGCAGUGUGCCCUGUGCUGAUGGCCGUCAUGUAUUUCCUUCCUGUUAGAUGUGACUACAUUUCAUGAGUGAUGGCAAAGAUUAUGUCUGAAAGAUGGAGAGAUUUUGGCAAAUCUGAUGUCCUUUUGAAGCCACUACCCUACAAGGCACACAUGGUAUGAGUUGGCUGACAGUAUUCUGGCAGACUCUGUAGACAGCUAUUGAAGUCAACUUUUGGCAAGGAUUUAGGGAUUUGAGUUGUUACCACAUGUUUUUUAUAGGUACUGUGGUUUAUUUUGACAUGCAAGGGGUGACAUAACACUGAUUUUAAAAAAGCUUAGGUUGUUACCACUUUACUUUUAAGAGCAUAGACAUCAAAGGGUGGCAAAUAUGUUACUGCAGUUAAGUGAGUUACUGCUUGUCACUGCAAAUCAGCUGAGGAGUGUUAGCUUGUUAAGCUUUGAUAACCCGAAUUCUUCUAAUCUUUUUUUUUUUUUUUUAAAUGUUAUUACAUUUAUUAAGCAUAAUAUUACAAAAUUAUCUUGUCAUUGAUAACUCUGAAUGUACCUAGAGUGGAUCAGCUAUCCUGUGAUACUAAGUGCAAGUAGCAUACCUGUAUUCUGCCCUAACCCAAGCUCAUUUUCUUUUUCAAAUUUGAACAAUGAUGACUGUACUUUUGUAUUUGAUGUCCUAUUAAUUUACUGUAUCUCAGCAAAGAAAUGAAUUAGAGAAUUCCUUGUUCAGCGUACAAUCCAUAAUAUGCCAAUGUGAGGUCUUCAAGAAAUACUUUUUAACCGUAAGCUAAGCCUUGCAUUUGUAUUUCACAGAACUGGGUCAUAAACAUGAAUUUAUUUUCAUCACAUAUGAUGAUGUUAAUCUCUUUGUUUCUUCUUCUCCAGACUGCACAUAUACACAUGUACGUACAUGCGCAUGCGCGUGCAUACACACACAGUUGUCACAAAUCAGUACAGCUGGUAAUUUUCAGUUCACCAGAAGCUCAGAAUAGCAGAGAAAUUGUUCAGUCAGGCUUGAUGUGGAGAACAAGUGUUUGCACACACUCCUCACUCUCUUUCUUGGGGGAAACUAUCAAAAGAGGUUUGAAAAAGGAAUGUCAAAGGGAAGAGAGCCAACACAUUUAUGUGUUCUUUUUAAUAUACAUAUUUCUGAUAUACAGGUGCAGGUCUGCCAAGGUGUAGCUGAGAUGAGAAGCAGGUGUUUAGAUACUGUACUGCUUUAACUGGAAAUGUGGGCAGGAGCAGAGCAGGUAGCAUCUCAUCCAUGGGAAUAUUAUGCUCAGUGGAUCAUGUCAACGGAAAAGGCUUGAGAGAUCAUCCCCGACAAAUAACUUUUUUUCUCUCUUUCCUGCCCUGAAAGGCUUGAAAACUUAACAUCUCCACACUCUUCUGAAGAGGCAGAGAAACACGACCAGAACAGUGUUUGUUCACUCAGGAAAUGGAGCAAAACAUGCCAGGGAUAAAAUAGCUGGCUCUCUUCCACUCUUCCAUCCAAGUACCAGACAAAAAGUCUCUUAGGGGCUAUAUAUUCAGAUCCAGAAAAGCUAACUUAUUCCAAGAGUGACCAGUAGAUUCAUCUGUACUAAUAAAAUAAGUCAGAGUUGCACGGACACUGAAAAAAAAAAAUGGUUCUAUUUCUUUUUUCUUUCUCUUAGUACCAAAAUAUUUAUUCAGAUUUACAUAUUUGUCACCAGUGAAGACAGAAGGAACUAACUGAGCUUACUUACUACACAGAAAGCAACUCUUGUUUUCUACAGUAAAAUAAGAUUCUUUUUAAAAAUGUAAAAUCCAGAUAACAAACUCCACUUGUCAAUAUGCCAAUGUUUAAAAAAAUUCCUCUCUCCUUGCUAUAUUAACUAAGCAAGGAGAGUGAGUAGUUCAAUAACUGAUCUUUUAUGACAUGGGAGAAAAAAAAUCAUCCAUUUUGGCUAUAACAUUAACAUCAGGAUUUACAAGUUAAAUGUAUUUGUCUACAUGAAACAAAUCUGAAAUUUCAUGUUUAGUGACAUCUAGUACAUGCACAUCUGGAAGUGCACUGAAAUCCAUCCUUCUUAGUCACUGGUAAUAUCACAGAAAGAAAGCCUAAAUGAAACAUGAAAUAUGAAAGGAUUUAGCACAUUACAAAUACAGAUAAGUAUACUUUUAAUUUAGAUGCAUUGAAGAGGCAUGGGAACCAGUUAAGAUUCUUUGAAAAUGCCAAACCAAUUGUUUAGCUGCUACACAGAGCUGUAGGCAAGUAUCCUAGUAAAUUGCUCACAAUAUAUGAGCUUUCAUUUGUAUUACCCAGUGAAGACACACUAAAUCUGAAACUGUCUCAAAUUUGUUUGCAAUAUGAUCCAAUUAAUUCACAUCUGAUAUUGAAUAUGCAGCUGUACUGUAUUCUGUUGCUAAUAACUUUUGUCACUGAGCCUUUUUUCCUUGUGAUGUUAGUAUUCAUGGCCUGGGAAAUCUUGAUGGAAUUAGAAAGGAGCAACAAGAUGGGAGAGGUCCAGCCACACCCAUGUGACUCCCCCAUGUUAACCUUAUAUGCUCUCUGGUGGUUUUGUCAUGUUGAAUCCUUCUGAAGCCUCCAUUUACCAGGAUAUACAAUUUCAUACUUCCUCAUCUUAUAUUUCAUUGUAACAGACAGUAGAAAGUAAAAAAAAAAACAGUGUUACCUUUCACACCCCGAAGGCAGGGAGACUGUCUACUCAAAGUUUCAAGCUGGAAAUUCGUUUUUGCUUUGGACAAUGCAAAAAUGUACCAUACAAAUAGCACAGUACUGUGACUGCAGGAAUGACUUUACAGCUUGUUUCCCUUUACUGUGAUUUGGGUGUGUUCUUAGAUCUUCCAAAACCUUUCUAGAGAUUGGCACUGGCAUUGUUUCUCUGCAGUACACACACAGGCCAAUUCAAGCAGAAGACAAUUUUGGCUGAGCAAAUUACACAGCGUGAAGUCUUAUUCCAUUAAGUAUUGUGAUUCCAGCAGAAUGUGGUUUGUCUAAACUAACUAAUCUAUACUGAGGAUAGCAAGGUUGGUUCGAUUAUUCAUUGGCACAAAAUUAACUCCUAUUCUUUGAUACUCAAUCAACUGCAACACAUAAAUAAAUAUUGUUCAUGAUAUGUUGAACUGUUCAUUUAUUAUACGGGCUGCUGCUUGAUGAGUAGGUGAUGUGAAGCUGUGGGAACUGCCCCUGAAACAUUUUGCUUUGA